GGGUUAGCCAAAAAGUUCGUUCGGGUUUUUCCACACCAUCUUGUGGAAAAACCCAAAGAACCCAAAUGAAAUUUUUGGCCAACCCA
rnacentral:miRNA from 1 species